rnacentral:rRNA from 1 species
AUUGAACGCUGGCGGCAUGCUUUACACAUGCAAGUCGAACGGUAACAGGCCGCAAGGUGCUGACGAGUGGCGAACGGGUGAGUAAUGCAUCGGAACGUGCCCAGUCGUGGGGGAUAACGCAGCGAAAGCUGUGCUAAUACCGCAUACGAUCUGUGGAUGAAAGCGGGGGACCGUAAGGCCUCGCGCGAUUGGAGCGGCCGAUGUCAGAUUAGGUAGUUGGUGGGGUAAAGGCUCACUAAGCCGACGAUCUGUAGCUGGUCUGAGAGGACGACCAGCCACACUGGGACUGAGACACGGCCCAGACUCCUACGGGAGGCAGCAGUGGGGAAUUUUGGACAAUGGGCGCAAGCCUGAUCCAGCAAUGCCGCGUGCAGGAAGAAGGCCUUCGGGUUGUAAACUGCUUUUGUACGGAGCGAAAAGGCUCCCUCUAAUACAGGGGGCUCAUGACGGUACCGUAAGAAUAAGCACCGGCUAACUACGUGCCAGCCGCCGCAGUAACAC